rnacentral:rRNA from 1 species
UACGAAGGGGGCUAGCGUUGCUCGGAAUUACUGGGCGUAAAGCGCACGUAGGCGGCUCUUUAAGUCGGAGGUGAAAUCCUGGAGCUCAACUCCAGAACUGCCCUCGAUACUGAAGAGCUCGAGUCCGGGAGAGGUGAGUGGAACUGCGAGUGUAGAGGUGAAAUUCGUAGAUAUUCGCAAGAACACCAGUGGCGAAGGCGGCUCACUGGCCCGGUACUGACGCUGAGGUGCGGAAAGCGUGGGGGAGCAAAC